GACGAACGCUGGCGGCGUGCCUAAUACAUGCAAGUCGAGCGCUUCUUUCCUCCCGAGUGCUUGCACUCAAUUGGAAAGAGGAGUGGCGGACGGGUGAGUAACACGUGGGUAACCUACCCAUCAGAGGGGGAUAACACUUGGAAACAGGUGCUAAUACCGCAUAACAGUUUAUGCCGCAUGGCAUAAGAGUGAAAGGCGCUUUCGGGUGUCGCUGAUGGAUGGACCCGCGGUGCAUUAGCUAGUUGGUGAGGUAACGGCUUACCAAGGCCACGAUGCAUAGCCGACCUGAGAGGGUGAUCGGCCACACUGGGACUGAGACACGGCCCAGACUCCUACGGGAGGCAGCAGUAGGGAAUCUUCGGCAAUGGACGAAAGUCUGACCGAGCAACGCCGCGUGAGUGAAGAAGGUUUUCGGAUCGUAAAACUCUGUUGUUAGAGAAGAACAAGGACGUUAGUAACUGAACGUCCCCUGACGGUAUCUAACCAGAAAGCCACGGCUAACUACGUG
rnacentral:rRNA from 1 species